rnacentral:rRNA from 1 species
GAUGAACGCUGGCGGCGUGCUUAACACAUGCAAGUCGAACGAUGAAGCCCAGCUUGCUGGGUGGAUUAGUGGCGAACGGGUGAGUAACACGUGAGUAACCUGCCCUUAACUCUGGGAUACGCCUGGGAAACUGGGUCUAAUACCGGAUAGGAGCGUCCACCGCAUGGUGGGUGUUGGAAAGAUUUAUCGGUUUUGGAUGGACUCGCGGCCUAUCAGCUUGUUGGUGAGGUAAUGGCUCACCAAGGCGACGACGGGUAGCCGGCCUGAGAGGGUGACCGGCCACACUGGGACUGAGACACGGCCCAGACUCCUACGGGAGGCAGCAGUGGGGAAUAUUGCACAAUGGGCGCAAGCCUGAUGCAGCGACGCCGCGUGAGGGAUGACGGCCUUCGGGUUGUAAACCGCUUUCAGUAGGGAAGAAGCGAAAGUGACGGUACCUGCAGAAGAAGCACCGGCUAACUACGUG